rnacentral:rRNA from 1 species
GACGAACGCUGGCGGCGUGCUUAACACAUGCAAGUCGAACGGAAAGGCCCUGCUUUUGUGGGGUGCUCGAGUGGCGAACGGGUGAGUAACACGUGAGUAACCUGCCCUUGACUUUGGGAUAACUUCAGGAAACUGGGGCUCAUACCGGAUAGGAGCUCUUGCUGCAUGGGGGGGGUUGGAAAGUUUCGGCGGUUGGGGAUGGACUCGCGGCUUCUGAGCUUGUUGGUGUGGUAGUUGCUUACCAAGGCUUUGACGGGUAGCCGGCCUGAGAGGGUGACCGGCCACAAUGGGACUGAGAUACGGCCCAGACGCCUACGGGAGGCAGCAGUGGGGAAUAUUGCACAAUGGGCGGAAGCCUGAUGCAGCAACGCCGCGUGCGGGAUGACGGCCUUCGGGUUGUAAACCGCUGUCGCCGGUGACGAAGCGUGAGUGACGGUAAUGGGUAAAGAAGCACCGGCUAACUACGUG